GACGAACGCUGGCGGCGUGCCUAAUACAUGCAAGUCGAGCGAGACUCUUCGGAGUCUAGCGGCGGACGGGUGAGUAACACGUGGGCAACCUGCCUGUAAGACUGGGAUAACACCGGGAAACCGGUGCUAAUACCGGAUAAUCCUUUUCCUCUCAUGAGGAAAAGCUGAAAGACGGUUUCGGCUGUCACUUACAGAUGGGCUCGCGGCGCAUUAGCUAGUUGGUGAGGUAACGGCUCACCAAGGCGACGAUGCGUAGCCGACCUGAGAGGGUGAUCGGCCACACUGGGACUGAGACACGGCCCAGACUCCUACGGGAGGCAGCAGUAGGGAAUCUUCCACAAUGGACGAAAGUCUGAUGGAGCAACGCCGCGUGAGCGAUGAAGGCCUUCGGGUCGUAAAGCUCUGUUGUUAGGGAAGAACAAGUACCGGAGUAACUGCCGGUACCUUGACGGUACCUAACCAGAAAGCCACGGCUAACUACGUGCCAGCAGCCGCGGUAACAC
rnacentral:rRNA from 1 species